rnacentral:rRNA from 1 species
ACACGUAGGUAACCUGCCCAUGUGCCCGGGAUAACUUCUGGAAACGGAUGCUAAAACCGGAUAGGUAGCAGACAAGCAUUUGACUGCUAUUAAAGUGGCUAAGGCCAUGAACAUGGAUGGACCUGCGGUGCAUUAGCUAGUUGGUGAGGUAACGGCCCACCAAGGCGACGAUGCAUAGCCGGCCUGAGAGGUUGAACGGCCACAUUGGGACUGAGACACGGCCCAGACUCCUACGGGAGGCAGCAUG